rnacentral:rRNA from 1 species
CCUACGGGCGGCAGCAGUGGGGAAUAUUGCGCAAUGGGCGAAAGCCUGACGCAGCGACGCCGCGUGAGGGAUGAAGGUCUUCGGAUCGUAAACCUCUGUCAGCAGGGAAGAACGGUCACUGUGCUAAUCAGCAGUGAAUUGACGGUACCUGCAAAGGAAGCACCGGCUAACUCCGUGCCAGCAGCGGCGGUAAUACGGGGGGGGCGAGCGUUAAUCGGAAUUACUGGGCGUAAAGCGCGCGUAGGCGGUAUGUCAAGUCAAGGGUGAAAUCCCCGCGACCAACGUGGGAACUGCUUUUGAAACUGGCAAACUGGAGUGUGUGAGAGGAUAGUGGAAUUCCAGGUGUAGGAGUGA